UUGACAGUGAUAUUUUAAGGACUAGAAGCAUUUUGACCAGAUGAAUGGAGCUUUCAGACGGGAUGAUGAGCAUCUCAAGGCAGUGUGCUGCCUAUGUGGACCGUAUCACCCAGGGUCCCCUGACCUUUAGCUUCUGUUGUUUUUGGCCAAUGGAAGACCCAGACAGGAGAUUGGAGGGCAGGAGGCAAGAGGUCAAGGCUGGAGUGCAGUAGUGUGAUCCUAGCUCAUUGUAACCUCAAACUCCUGGACUCAAGUGAUCCUCCCACCUCAGACUCCUGAGUAGCUGGGACUAUAGGUGUGCAACACCACAGCCAGGUAAUUUUUUUUUAAUUAUUUUAUUUUUUGUAGAUAAACAGAUUCUUGCUUAUGUUGCCAGGCUGGUUUCAAACUCCUGGGCUCAAGCAAUCUGCCUGUGUUGGCCUCCCAAAGUGCUGAGAUUACAGACAUGAGCUACCUUGCCUUGUCAUCCCUGGGUGUUUUACUGUUCCCUGUUGUUUUCCAUACCCUUGCCCAACCUCUGUAAAUAUUCUUUCAUUAAACUGUCUUCAAUCAGUGCUUCGUGUGUGCCAUCUCUUUCCUGCCAAGACACUGAAAAGUCCCAAGGAGAACCCUCCUAAAGGGAGAGAGUCUUUGCUGAUGACCAUCAAGCUCAUAAGUAAGGGCUGGUGUGCCUGAGGCUGUGUGUCCCUCUGGACACAGGCAACCUGUCUUUGUGCUAUGAUUGGACAGAAUAGCUGGGCACAUGGAUGUGGACCCAGAUAACUCUGUUUGGGCACCUCUCCACAGGCUGGGCCACAGGACAUUGUGGGUGGUCAUUGAUCAUGCCUGGCAGAACCAGUCCUCAACAGCAAGACCUAGGGGGUAUGAAACCACACUAGUGGACACACCAAACUUUGUAGUUCUCUUCACUUGGUGUUUGAAAGCAGGGCCAGCCCCUUUUGGAUUGAUUUAGCCUCUGAAGUUCUGGAAAUUUAAUGAGACAG
rnacentral:lncRNA from 1 species